rnacentral:rRNA from 1 species
GCACGGGGGCAACCUUGGUGGCGAGUGGCGAACGGGUGAGUAAUGCAUCGGAACGUGCCCAGUAGUGGGGGAUAACUAGUCGAAAGAUUAGCUAAUACCGCAUACGACCUAUGGGUGAAAGCGGGGGACCUUUACCGGCCUCGCGCUAUCGGAGCGGCCGAUGUCUGAUUAGCUAGUUGGCGGGGUAAAAGCCCACCAAGGCGACGAUCAGUAGCUGGUCUGAGAGGACGACCAGCCACACUGGGACUGAGACACGGCCCAGACUCCUACGGGAGGCAGCAGUGGGGAAUUUUGGACAAUGGGCGCAAGCCUGAUCCAGCCAUGCCGCGUGCGGGAAGAAGGCCUUCGGG